rnacentral:rRNA from 1 species
AGAACGAACGCUGGCGGCAGGCUUAACACAUGCAAGUCGAACGCUCGUAGCAAUACGGGAGUGGCAGACGGGUGAGUAACGCGUGGGAACAUACCCUCCGGUUCGGAAUAGCUCAGGGAAACUUGGAUUAAUACCGGAUACGGCCGAGAGGCGAAAGAUUUAUCGCCGGAGGAUUGGCCCGCGUUCGAUUAGCUAGUUGGUGAGGUAACGGCUCACCAAGGCGAUGAUCGAUAGCUGGUCUGAGAGGAUGAUCAGCCACAUUGGGACUGAGACACGGCCCAAACUCCUACGGGAGGCAGCAGUGUGGAAUAUUGGACAAUGGGCGCAAGCCUGAUCCAGCCAUGCCGCGUGAGUGAUGACGGCCUUAGGGUUGUAAAGCUCUUUCGCUCGGGACGAUAAUGACGGUACCGAGAUAAGAGCCCGGCUAACUCGCGCCAGCAGCCGC